rnacentral:rRNA from 1 species
GAUGAACGCUAGCUACAGGCUUAACACAUGCGAGUCGAGGGGCAGCAUGGUCUUAGCUUGCUAAGGCCGAUGGCGACCGGCGCACGGGUGAGUAACGCGUAUCCAACCUGCCUUACACUCUUGGACAGCCUUCUGAAAGGGAGAUUAAUACAAGAUGUUAUCAUGAGUAAGCAUUUUCGCAUGAUUAAAGGUUUACCGGUGUAAGAUGGGGAUGCGUUCCAUUAGAUAGUAGGCGGGGUAACGGCCCACCUAGUCUUCGAUGGAUAGGGGUUCUGAGAGGAAGGUCCCCCACAUUGGAACUGAGACACGGUCCAAACUCCUACGGGAGGCAGCAGUGAGGAAUAUUGGUCAAUGGACGAGAGUCUGAACCAGCCAAGUAGCGUGAAGGAUGAAGGUUCUAUGGAUUGUAAACUUCUUUUAUACGGGAAUAAACGGAUCCACGUGUGGAUUUUUGCAUGUACCGUAUGAAUAAGGAUCGGCUAACUCCGUGCCAGCAGCCGCGGUAAUACGGAGGAUCCGAGCGUUAUCCGGAUUUAUUGGGUUUAAAGGGAGCGUAGAUGGGUUGUUAAGUCAGUUGUGAAAGUUUGCGGCUCAACCGUAAAAUUGCAAUUGAUACUGGCAGUCUUGAGUACAGUUGAGGUAGGCGGAAUUCGUGGUGUAGCGGUGAAAUGCUUAGAUAUCACGAAGAACUCCGAUUGCGAAGGCAGCUUACUAACCUGUAACUGACAUUGAUGCUCGAAAGUGUGGGUAUCAGACAGGAUUAGAUACCCUGGUAGUCCACACGGUAAACGAUGAAUACUCGCUGUAGGCGAUAUACAGUCUGCGGCCAAGCGAAAGCAUUAAGUAUUCCACCUGGGGAGUACGCCGGCAACGGUGAAACUCAAAGGAAUUGACGGGGGCCCGCACAAGCGGAGGAACAUGUGGUUUAAUUCGAUGAUACGCGAGGAACCUUACCCGGGCUUAAAUUGCAACCGAAUAUGGCGGAAACGCUAUAGCUAGCAAUAGCGGUUGUGAAGGUGCUGCAUGGUUGUCGUCAGCUCGUGCCGUGAGGUGUCGGCUUAAGUGCCAUAACGAGCGCAACCCUUGCCGAUAGUUACUAACAGGUUAUGCUGAGGACUCUGUCGGGACUGCCAUCGUAAGAUGUGAGGAAGGUGGGGAUGACGUCAAAUCAGCACGGCCCUUACGUCCGGGGCUACACACGUGUUACAAUGGGGGGUACAGAGGGCUGCUACCACGCAAGUGGAUGCCAAUCCCAAAAACCUCUCUCAGUUCGGAUUGAAGUCUGCAACCCGACUUCAUGAAGCUGGAUUCGCUAGUAAUCGCGCAUCAGCCACGGCGCGGUAAAUACGUUCCCGGGCCU